GCCCAGGCACUGGAUGCACCUGCAGCCUGAGAGCAGCAGGGGGCGGGGUGCCGGGAGGAGAGGGAUUUCAGAUCCCCUGUGCCCUGUGGACGUCAGAAAGCAGGACUUUCUCUUCUGAAACCUGGGCUAGUUCUCAGGUGCAACAGGCCCUGGGUGUGAUGCUCUGACCAGGCGCCCCGGGUGUAAGUACUCAGGCUUCUCGUGCUUCCUCUUCAUACUACACCUUUUGGAACCCAAGAACCUCGCGGCUGCUCCUUCUGGCAAUGGAAAUGUCAGAAAGCAAAGGAAAUUUAAGCUCCACUCAGAGAAAAGAGAAGAUACCAAAAAGUCUAGGGCAACAGACUGUGAUGUGGCCCUUCCAGAUGAGGAGUUCAACAAGACUACAUGGUAGAGCAGCCAGAGAACCCACUGGAAAUAAGGCUCAAAAUAAGGAGUAACCACAAAAUAAGAGACAGAGAAUGCUGAUUCACUAUGCAGUGAAACAUGCCUAACGUGUCAACAGCUAAAUGCCCGGUGACAGUGUGGUUGUCUGGGCAACAGAAGAAGUCACCCACGCAAACACUUAAAGGACCAUACUUAUUUUACAAGAGGAACAGUUUUCAAUGGAAUGGAUAUUAAAACACACACCUGGAUCCCUUUACCACAGGUGCUUUGAGAGGCACCAUCAAGGACAGUGAGCUAACGCAGGAGAAUGGAGUCCCAGAAACCUAGGAGGAGAAGACAAAGUGUCAGCCUCUCGGCAUCUGCAGUGUUGCUAGGAAAAGAGCUCUGAUCCCAGGGGCUUACCCACUUCCACAGGUAGGAAGCGUCCCUGAGAGGACUGGAACAUUAGCAUAUCUCAGAUCCAUCUGCAAAACUUUUGCAAACACGGAACUCCCUCGUUCUAAUCUUAUCAGCAACUUCCAGAGCUGAACCUUGAUUAAUCUGGAUACAAAAAGGAUUGAAACGCCACAUAAUAAGCAUUAACAGGAGGGUGUUUCCUUUAUCAAUGAAGCUUGAUUUAUCCAUGAUGAUCUAGUGCAUUCUCCUCCCAAAAAUCAGGAUCAUCCUCUGCAUAUGAAGGAACAGACAAGCCCUCAGCUCUACCACUUUGGAGAGGGGGGGAUUGGACAGCAUGAGCCUUCAAUUGUAUCUCUUGGAUGACCAAGGAAGGCUGGAUUUCUGCACCUAAAAAAUGGAAGCACAAACUGUACAACAAAUACUCUCCAUUCAAGUUGAAGUUCUCAAAUAAGGUUCUUUUCAAGGUGUUGGUGACACAGAUAUGAGGAAAACAGAGUUGACUCAUGGUGAUGGAGCUUACAUUCUAUGGGGCAAGAGUGAGCAGAGGAAUGUGGACAAGAAGACAUCUUCAAUAAAGUGACAUUUAUAUAGAGACAUAAAGAAAUGGAGGGGGAGCCAUGCAUAUCAAGGAACAUAAGUGCAAAGGCCUUGAGUUAGAAUCCUGUAGGGUGAUUUGUAGAAACAGUAAGGCCAGAGAGGAACACAGCUGGAACAGAGUGAAUUAGGAGAUGUGAACAGAAAGGUCGCAGGGAGUCAGGUUAUUUAGGACUCUGUAGGCCAUUGUAAAUAUUUGGGAUGGGACACUGGGCAGAGGAGUAACAUCAUCUCAUUUCAGUUUUGAAAGGUUCACUCCAGCUACUCUGUUGACAAUGGAUUAUAGAAGACUGAACAUGGAAUCCAGGAGACCAGUCAGAAAACUUCUUCAGGAAUCCAGCACAGUCUUGGCCUGUUCUGGAGAAUGCUCCCCAUCAAAAAUAAUUGACUGGAGACAAGCCAAGUCAGGAUUCUCCCUGGGAUCAAUUUCUGAUGGCGCUUUCUUCAUAAACAGGGGGACCUUUUCAAAUUCCUCUUCCCACUGGUCCUCAUGAAAGCCGCCACGGUAAGGCUGGCUCUGGAACUUUUCCAGGAACAAGUCCGUGGCAUCGUCUGAGGUGGGGUCCUGCUCAGGUUACUCCAUAACUGAUGCCCUGCCCUCCAGCCCAGGUCCCGGCACCGUGAAGUGUAGAAAAUACUCUACAAUGAAUAAAAAUAAAAUACAAUAUUCAAGAUUUAUGAAUGCAAUAAAAGCAGUGGUCAGAAGGAACAUUUAAGCUCUAAACACAUUAAAAAAGAAGAAUGAUAUUAAUAGAAAAUCUAAUUGUGUAUCUUACAUAACUAGAAAAUGAAAAGCAGUCUAAAGCCAAAGCAUGAAGGAGGUAGGAAAUAAUGAUUAGAGGAAACAUAAAUGACAUAGAGAAUAGAAAAACAAGAGAGAGUAUCAAUGAACCUAAAAUUUGGUUCUUUAAAAAGAUUACCAGAUUUGACAAACCUUUAGCUAUACUAAUAAUAGAAGACUAAAAUAAAUAAAAUUAAAAAUGAAAUCAUAGACAUUAUAACUGAUACCAUAGAAAUACAAAGGAUCAAAAGAAACUACUAAUGAACAAUUAUAUGCCAACAAAUUGGAUUACCUACAGGAAAUUGAUGAAUUCCUACAACAUACAACCUACCAACGCUGAAUCAUGAAGAAAUAGAAAAUCUAAACAGACCAAUAGUGAGUAAAGAGAUUGAGUCUGUAAUCAAAAAUCUUACAAAAAAGAAAAGCUCAGUAUCAGACAGCUUCACUGAUGAGUUCUAUCAGUCCUUUAAUGAAAAUUUAUACCAAUCAUUGCCAAACUCUUUCAUAAAAUUGAAGAGAUGAGAAUAGUUCAUAAUUCAUUGUAUGAGGCUGGCAUUACGUAGAUACAAAGCCAGACAAAGACAUUACAAGAUUGUCUCUUUUAAGUAUAGAUGCAAAGCCUCUUGAUAAAAUCCUAUCAAACUGAAUACAGCAGCAUAUUAAAGGGAUCAUACUCCAUGACAAAUGGGAUUUAUCUCAGUAAUGCAAGAAUGGUUCAACGUAUGAAAAUCACUCAAUGUAAGAAACCACAUGAAUAGAAUGAAGGGAGAAAAAAGACCCCAAAAUAUACGAACAUUUCAGUUGAUGCAGAGGAAUCAUUUGAUAAAGUUCAACAUUCUUUUAAAACACUCAGUAAAUGAAGAAUAAAAGAUAUCUUCCAUAACACGAUAAAGGUGAUAUAUGAAAAACCCACAGCUAACAUCACACCCAAUAUUGAAAGACUCAAAGCUUUCCCUUAACAAUGGGAACGAGAGCAGGAUUCCUACUGUCGCUAUUUUUACUCAAUAUAGUAGUAGAAAUUCUAGCCAGAGCAAUUAGAGAAGUCAAAUAAAUGAAAAUCUUACAAAUUGAAAAGAGAGAAGUUCUCCAUUCACAGAUGACCUGGUCUUAUGUGUAGAAAGCUCUAAGGAUUUAAUAACAAAACUAUUAGAGCUAAUAAAUGAAUUAAGCAAAGUUGUAGGACAAAAAAACAAUAAACAAAAUCAGUUGUGUUUCUAUACACUAGAAAUAAGCAAUAGGACAAGUUUUUUAAAACUUUCUUUUUAUAGUAGCAUCUGAAAGAACAGAUAUGUAGGAAUUUAAUCGGAAAUUAAAGACGUACUGAAAACUACAAAACAUUGCUGAAAUAAAGAAGUCAUAAAUCAAUGGAAUGUGUUCAUGGUGUAAGAUUUAAUAUUGUUAAGGUGAUAAUGCUACUCGAUUUGCUUUGCUAAUCAAAGCAAUCUACAGAUUGAAUCCAACAAUUUUUUUUUUCUUGUGGAAAUAGAAAACCCAUUCUAAAGUUCAUAUGAAAUCUUAAGGGACCUUGCAUAGCCAAAACAAUCUUGAAAAGAAUAAAUGUGGACAACUCACAUUUCCUGAUUUCAAAACUUAUCACAAAGAUACAGUAAUCAAAACAGUGAGGUACUUGUAUAAAGACAGACAUACAGACCAAUAGAUUUGAAUAGAUAUUCCAGAAGUAAACUCUCACAUACACAGACAAUUGAUUUUUGACAAGGGCACAAAAGCCAUUCAAUGGGGAAAAGGACAAUCUUUUCAACAAAUGGUGCUGGGAAAACUGUGUAUCCACAUGUAAAAAAAUGAAGUCAAACCUUUUCCUCAAAUUAUAUACAGAAAUUCACCAAAAAUGAAUAAAAUACUUAAAUAUAAGAACUAAAACUAUAAAACUCUUAGAGGAAAACAUACAACUAAAUCUUCAUGAUAUUAAUUUCUUAGAUAUGACACCAAAAGGAUGAGGAAUAACAAAAAUAGAUAAACUGAAGGGUAGAAAGCAAAGUGAUAAUGGAAGAUGAGAGUCGAGUGAUGUGACCAGGAGCCAAGGAAUGCCAUGGCCUCUAGAUGUGGGGAGUUAAGGGACCAAUUUUCCCUGGAAACUCCUGAAGGAACUUGCCAUGCCAACACCUUGAUUAUAGCCCUUUAAGAUACAUUUUGGACUGUUGAUCUCCAGGAUUGUAAGAUAAUACAUUCGUGUUGAUUUAAGCCACUGAAUAUGUGGUGAUUUGUUACAGCAGCAAUAGUAAACUGAUACACAAUCUCAAUGAAAGUAGGGAUUUCUGUCUUCCCACACCCUGCUCACUUCACUAGAGAAUUUAUAGCACUUAGUGUAUUCUUCGAUAAAUAUUUGUUGAGUAAGAUGAAUGAAGCCAGACUUUAGAGUCAGAUUACACUUGGCUGGUUAACUGUUGUGAGGAAAGCAGUUGAAAGUUCUCUUGGCCUUGCUUCUACUUGCACUGGGAAGCACUGUCAUCAAUGAAGGGGUUGCUGUGGGUUUCAAGAGAAAAGAAAAGGUGUGAGAAUCUCCCAGGUACAGUGGGAGCUCAUCUGGACUAGGGAAAUAAAAUAGGAUUGCUUGGUUAUUGCUCACUUGGUCACUAAUAUAACAUGAAUUGAGACAGUAUGGUUGUAUAUUUUUCUCCAAUUAAGGUUAUGGGGUGGCAUGGCCUAGGGGAAGUUACUUAUUUUGCAAGGGUGAUUUGAUAGAGGCAGCAAGCCAGGUAGCUGGGAUGUUUGCAAGGGCAUGAUCAUAAUGGUGUACCAUGCAAUUUAAGCAGGGGCAGGUGGAAAUAAGGACUUGAUGUGAUAUGUUCAGAUCCAUGAAUAAGACAUCAUAACAGGAGUCACAGUAUUGUCAGACUAGAAGUACUGGAGGAAGGGAGCUGGACAUUUGAAAGAGAUGGGAGGGUGGAAUGUUUGAGAUUGAGUGAAUGGAGGUGCUGUGUUCAUUUGGUCAUGCUAAGGUCUUGGGGUGGCCAUGGGAGGGGUGGGUGGCUGAGGUGGGGCAGAGGACAGACUCAUCUGGAGAUGAUGCAAUAAAUGAAGGGGAAAGCUAGGCCCUGCAAGGAGCUCUCUUGUGUGUAUUAAAAUCAUCAAAAACUGUGGCAGGAGUGAUUGCAGAGAUCCUAGUGACCCAUGAUCAAGGAAUGAAGAGGAAGACCAGCGGUCUAGAGAUUACUGCACAUGUGGGGUGGGAAGAGGGCGGUAACAGAUGACAAUCAUUAAUUUGAUAAAAAAGUAUUGAAUGUCUGCUCUGUGCCAGGCACAUGGUGGUAGGGUCUGAUGGGAGGUUAAAGGGAAGAGAGGUGGAUAAUGUUCUGGAGAUUUCAAUGAGCAAGAAGGGUAUUUAGCCCACAUUGAGGCCCAACAGAUUGAAGCCUUAAAAGAAAACAGCAACACCUGAGAAGGAUGCCAGGAAAUGAGUCCUAGGGGUACAUGUGGAGUCAGCUGGAGCACAUCCAGGAAGAAGGACAGAAGAAAGACUGUGAAGGACUUGAGUCAGGGAGGGGUGUGAGCUGACUCAGAAAGGGUGAUGCAUGGGUAGGCCAUGGGGUGAGGGAUGAACGGGAGUCUUGGAUUUCCUGUGGUCACUCAGGGAAACCCAGCAGCUAAAAGUAAGUGAUUUAAGCAAAUGAAUGGACAGAUGAAUUAAUGAAUAGACUAAAGAUGGACAAAUGCUUCCACCAGCCUUGCUUCAGGCCCUAUUUAGAACUGAAGUUGACUUCCUCUUUCUUUUAAUAGCUGCAAAAAUGAUGAAUUUGAUUUUCGUCUCUAGAAGCAAUUUCCUUUUUAAAUCAGGUGAGGAUCUUGGCAGAUGCGAAGAAUCUUUCAGAACCUGCAUGUAUAUGAGAAAGGGAUAUGACAGCAUGAAGUUCUCCUGUUUGAAGAAGCUAAAUGGAGCCACUUUUUGACUCAGUUGACUGGGACCUGGAGCUGGUGCACUAUUUGAAUUGCAUGGUGUGCCUGCCGCUGCCUUUUGACUUCUCCAGCCUGUACACCUGCCUUUUUGGGGAGAACUGUGGUAACAUAUGGGGAGGCGUCCUGUAUUUUCUGCAAUAUCUGACAAAGAAAAACUAGUUGGUUCAUAUGUAUAUAUGAUCUUUCAACAAGAACGUCAAAUAAAUAUCUUCACUCCUUGGGGAGAAGCAGGUCAGAGCCCCACUGUCUCAGCUAGCUCUCACUUGGCUGUCUUGUUUUGGGGCUGGAAGGCCACACUGUGUUUCCUGGGGUAGAGGCGGAGUCUGGGCAUUCUCCCUUUGUAGCUGAGAGCUAAGAGCAGUUGUGUCUGCUUUGAUAAAAUAAAGUUAUUUUUUAGUUUAGUCUGAUCUCCAAAUCCUUCCCUUUCAGAUACCUCUGCCAUCCAAGAUCAGGGGAUACUAAAUUUUCAAAGCAUUUUCUCAGGAGUUGCAUGAGAAAACAUACACCUGCUCUUGUUUUCAAGGGGUGUGGGCAAGAAGUAAAAAGGACAAACUGUUAAUGAGAACACUUUCUGUAUUCCUCCCUCCCCACUGAUACAUACCAGUACCAUAAAAUUUAAAAUGAGUCAAAUGACUGCAGUAAGACUUUACUUUGGUAUACGAGGCAAAAUGUUGGACAUGGGUGCUAAUUAAUCAUCAGAGAGUUACAGGGGAACCUGGACGAAUUAAGACUGGGGCAAGAGACAGCUCAUCAAGGAUCUUGCCCUGUAGCUCAAGAAGAAAAUGUUUAACUUAGUUGCCUGGACACUCUGAGGAUAGAAUGAAAUGCUGUAUGCGACCUGUUGGCCUUGGAAGCCGGCAUGGAUUCAGCACCCAGGGUUGGGGUGAACCUUCUCUCCCUCACUGUGUCAGGCAUCUUAGUCUGCCCCAGGAUGUGCAGGCUGCCUGUCCCUGGCCUCACAUCCUGCUGUAAGUGGGAUUGUGACCCCCUGAAAUGCAUAUGUUGAAGCCCUAACUGCCUCUGUGAUGGUAUUUGGAGGUGAAGCCUUUGGGAGAUAAUUAGGGUUAGAUGAAGUCCUAAGGACCUCCAUGAUGGGAUUAGUGUCCUUACAAGAAGAGGAAGAGACACCAGAGCUUCCCCUCUCUCACCUGUGAGGACAGAGGUAGCAGGUGGCUGUG
rnacentral:lncRNA from 10 species